GACGAACGCUGGCGGCGUGCUUACCACAUGCAAGCCGAACGGAAAGGCCCUGCUUUUGUGGGGUGCUCGAGUGGCGAACGGGUGAGUAACACGUGAGUAACCUGCCCUUGACUUUGGGAUAACUUCAGGAAACUGGGGCUAAUACCGGAUAGGAGCUCCUGCUGCAUGGUGGGGGUUGGAAAGUUUCGGCGGUUGGGGAUGGACUCGCGGCUUAUCAGCUUGUUGGUGGGGUAGUGGCUUACCAAGGCUUUGACGGGUAGCCGGCCUGAGAGGGUGACCGGCCACAUUGGGACUGAGAUACGGCCCAGACUCCUACGGGAGGCAGCAGUGGGGAAUAGUGCACAAUGGGCGGAAGCCUGAUGCAGCAACGCCGCGUGCGGGAUGACGGCCUUCGGGUUGUAAACCGCUUUCGCCUGGGACGAAGCGUGAGUGACGGUAAUGGGUAAAGAAGCACCGGCUAACUACGUG
rnacentral:rRNA from 1 species